CAGAGGGUGCAAACGUUGCUCGGAAUCACUGGGCGUAAAGGGCGUGUAGGCGGGAAGCUAAGUCAGGUGUGAAAUCCCCAGGCUCAACCUGGGAACUGCACUUGAAACUGUCUUUCUUGAGUGUCGGAGAGGAAAGUGGAAUUCCUGGUGUAGAGGUGAAAUUCGUAGAUAUCAGGAGGAACACCGGUGGCGAAGGCGGCUUUCUGGACGACAACUGACGCUGAGACGCGAAAGCGUGGGGAGCAAACAGGAUU
rnacentral:rRNA from 1 species